UUCGGUGGCAAUAGCGAGGAGGAAACACCCGUUCCCAUUUCGAACACGGCAGUUAAGCUCCUCAGCGCCGAUGGUACUGCGUGGGUAACUGCGUGGGAGAGUAGGUCGCCGCCGAAU
rnacentral:rRNA from 5 species